UACGUAGGGGGCAAGCGUUGUCCGGAUUUACUGGGCGUAAAGAGCGUGUAGGCGGCCACGCAGGUCCGUUGUGAAAACUGGAGGCUCAACCUCCAGCUGUCGACGGAAACCGUAUGGCUAGAGUCCGGAAGAGGAGAGUGGAAUUCCUGGUGUAGCGGUGAAAUGCGCAGAUAUCAGGAAGAACACCUAUGGCGAAGGCAGCUCUCUGGGGACGGUACUGAC
rnacentral:rRNA from 1 species